rnacentral:tRNA from 1 species
GCGGGCGUGGCGGAAUAGGCAGACGCGCCAGAUUUAGGUUCUGGUACCGAAAGGUGUGAAGGUUCAAGUCCUUUCGCCCGCACCA